rnacentral:rRNA from 1 species
UACGUAGGGUGCAAGCGUUUGUCCGGAAUUAUUGGGCGUAAAGAGCUCGUAGGCGGUUUGUUGCGUCGGCUGUGAAAUCCCGAGGCUCAACCUCGGGUCUGCAGUCGAUACGAGCAAACUAGAGUGUUGCAGGGGAGACUGGAAUUCCUGGUGUAGCGGUGAAAAUGCGCAGAUAUCAGGGAGGGAACACCCGGUGGGCGAAGGCGGGGUCUCUGGGCAAC